ACCUUUUUGUAGUUCAUAAGCAUGAUGAUUAUGUUUUUACAUUCAUGUAUAAGAUGUGCCUCCCUCAAACCUUGUUAUGAUGUCAGCAUAUUACCUGUCUGAUG
ensembl:snoRNA